rnacentral:rRNA from 1 species
AGCCUGAUCCAGCCAUGCCGCGUGGGUGAUGAAGGCCCUAGGGUUGUAAAGCCCUUUCGGCGGGGAAGAUAAUGACGGUACCCGCAGAAGAAGCCCCGGCUAACUUCGUGCCAGCACCGCGGUAAUA